CGGCUGCACAGCAGAAAGCAGAGCAGAGCUCCGAGAAUCAGCUGCGUAACUUGCAUGUGAGCUCCAGCCCCGCUUGUCGGAGUGCCUGCCGGGGUGGUGAGGGCGAGGGAAGCCGGAGGCAUGGCUCCAUGCUGCCGGGGACCGCGAGCAUGGAAGGAGGCCGCAGGGCUGGGGAGCUGGCCUGCAGCCCCUCUGUGGGGCGAGGGCACGGCCAUUCCUGCCUACGGCAGGCCCUUGCUUGUGUGUAAGAAGCUUCAACAGUCAUCGAAGGCGGGUCUGGUCUGCCAAAACGGGGAAAUGAGAAGAAAUUCAGAGGCAUGUGACAUCCCUAAGGAGUUCUUGGAAAUCCAGAUGGAAAUUCUUAAUGCAUGGAGUUGGCAGUGUGUCUGGUUGCAAGUUUACAGCACUUGUAUAAUUUUCACAGGUUCAGCCAGUAGGCUGAGCAUGUGUUUUGGAGACAUGUGCAGUCACACAGAGAAAAGAGGCAGAGCUGGCUACAUGUACUGCCACAGACCCGGUACUGCCUUCUACAGCACCCACAUGUGACACUGACAGGACUACAGCCAAGUCCUCUUCUUCCUCUUGAGCUGGUGUAACACUGAGAAGGAAACUACUGUGUAUGUUGUUAUCCUUUAUUGCUGACAAGAAGUUUUAGCUGCUGAUCUAGGUAACCAGAUUUGUUUGUCUCCUGGAUAAAUGAACCAUAAUGCUAUCACCAAAACAAUUAAAUAUUGAACUUUGGGGAGAAAAAAGAUUCUACCUCCUGUAUCUUUCUGUGUUGUCAACAUGAUCUCUUCUUAUGUAUAUCUGUCUGUGUACAAAAAUCUUCCUUCUGUCAAUAUUUUGUUGUGUGGCUUGGAGUAGAUCCCAUACUUCAGGAGGGAAUGAAAUCCUUCCCCUGCUACUAAGAGUGAGAGUCUUCAUCUUCAGUAGGGUCAGGAGUUCAUCCUGCAUCUAAUAUUCUGAAACUGAAAUGAAGACAUGGAUGUAACAGAUCCCUGCCUCCUUCACAAGAGUAUCGGAAGUUGAAGUGUGAGUAGUUUCCCUUCACAGAAAUUAAUGAGUUUUUUUAAAAUUAACUUUAUUUUUGUCAAAGCAUAAAGUCUAAACACAGAAAUUCUAAAAAAAUUCUAAAAAAAAAAAAAGUGGUUUUUUUAUCAUGAGAAUUG
rnacentral:lncRNA from 1 species